rnacentral:lncRNA from 1 species
CUAAAGCUACCACAGUUCUUCAAUCAAAGUAUAUAUCUACAUAUAGAGAGAGAGUACACUUCAUAAUUUCAUCCUUUGUCUUCUGUAAACAUACCAUGGAAAUUUGAUACCUAGUAUUGUAAGGAAGGUCGUAGAAGCAGUCUUCCUGCACAUAUUUAAAAUUAAUAGCAAGUCCGAAAAAUGAAGCAAAUAAGUCACCAGAGGCACUUAGUGCCAAAAUCAAUACACAAAGACAAUAGAGUUGUUACGUGGUACUAAUGUACACCGUAUUGCUCAUAAAUAGAAAAAGACAAAUAGGCAAUCACAAUAUCAUUUGCUACAAAUCCAAAUAGAAAAAGAACAUUCAGUGCUACUAUAUGAUUGCUCUGUUACAAGAAAAAAUUGGAAUCUUAAUCGGCCAUUUCAUGAAUUAAUUUCAGUAAGCAUAGUGGUAAACAUAUUUUCUGUUACAAGACUUGUAGAUUAUUAUUAUAUGUUGGCCUCAAGUCAGAAUUCAAUCACAUUCAACAACCACAAGCAUCACACAGUCUUAAAUACCAUCACACAAUCUUAAAUAAUAAUGUUUAGAUUUCUAUAUAGGAAGGACAACAAUUAUGGAAAAGUUGAGGCUAUUAGUCAAUGUGGAAAAACUUUUCUUAAGAUGACAAAUUUCCAUACAGUAUAUGCCCCAAAGAUGCUAGCUAUAAUCACAGACAUCAUAGAUUUAUUUACCAAGAAUUCAACAUGUUGCAACAGACAUUGGAAAGACACAUUUAUUGAUAACUUGAGAAUUUUUAAGUGGCAAGGGCAUAACAUACCCAGGUCAGCGAGAUAAGUUCAUCCCCUUCAUAAUUGGGUCCUACAAGAAUAGUCUGUGAUGAAUAAUAGUCCAUGAGGGUUGGUAUGGUCACAUCUUACAAUCUCUCAUUUUGAUCAUGAAACCAUCAAAACUGCUCUUGACCUCAACUAUAUUGAAAAACAGAUGAAACAUAUAAAUAGAUUAUAUGCUAUUUUGCAUAUACUUCAUAGUAUAUUGCUUGCAACAUCCAGCUGUGAUAUUUUAAACAAAAUAUUAGCAAAUAUAUGAGGAACUUUAACUAUUGUAAAAUGAAAAUGAAACUGACUUCCCAAAGAUGAGACAUCUAUUUCGAUGCCAAAAAUUAGUCUGAAAAUUUGUUUAUAUUAACCAAUCUUAUAGUAUUUUAACAACUAGCUUGCAUAAAGAGGAAAUCAAAAGAAUAAAUUUUUUAUGUUUUGUUUUCAGCUUUUUCCCACAAAAGUAAAUCAACAAUAAAACUAUGCUCUCAAACUGCUGCAAAUAUUUUAAUUAACCUCAUCAUCAUUCGUGCUCUCUGCAAUUCUCUAAACUACAGAGAGAGAAUGCUUGCACUUCUCCAACAUGCUCACUAUCAAAUCUUCCUGCAAUUACAUAUGAAUUCGUAUUGAUUGCUAUUAUAUUAUUAAUAAGUACUUCUUACUUUCCACGAAGCUAGUAAAACACAAUGUACCAUUCACUGAAGCAUAAUUCUUAAUAACUUUAAAAACUUUAAUUCUUAAUUCUAAUAUAUUCAAUAUGCAACAAUAUAAUCUCCAUACAUAAUUCAUGAUAACGAAAAUUUCCAUGGUUUGCUUAAUAAAAAUAACUUACCUCGAAGCACUUGGUUGUAUAAGAAGAAUAUUAACUGCACUAUUUAGAUUUGGUGAAAUUAAAACUUUAUAACUUAAUUCCUAUCACCUCAUUCCUGCUGCUGCUAAUUGGACUUCGAUUCUCAAUCCCAGAUUACGAUUUCAUUACUUAGCUUUCUUCCUUAUCCUUAGCCAAAACUCUAGCUUGUAAAAUUAUAUUAGAAGAGAUGAAAUGAAACGAAACUUGGAGAUUCUGAAGAAAGCAGGACACGGAAGGGAAGUACAUCUAUUAGUAAAUCAACC